ACGGGGUGAAGGCCGGAGCCCGGCUCCACUCGAGGUAGCCUGCGGCCCCUUCCUCUCCAACCGCCGCCUCCUCCCCCACCAACCCUCAUCUCUCCUGCCGAGAACGGAGCUGGCACCGACCCGACGACCGUUCAUCGGGAGCGGGGAAAUAACGGCUUUCAGCCACCGUUCCCGUACUUGAAGACGGCGGUCAAAUCCGUAAGCAUUCCCACAAGUACCCCUCGGGAGCCCGGAGUCGAACGUGGUCUCCAUGGCUACAGCGCUGUGGGCUUGUUUUCCAUUCGUCGGGCAGAUACAUGAAAAGCCUCAGUCACAACAGAGCACGCUCCAGUGGCUUGAAAAAAAAAGCCCAACACAAUGCACGCAGUCUCAGCAAUCCAAGAAAGCCCAGGCUGCAGGCAGGAUAAAGCCGGACAUUUCAUCUGAUUUUCCGUCUUAAAGGGGAGAAAGAACGCGGAGCAUGCAAACAAAUUGAACUCUUGAUUUCCCUCUUUGUUUCCUUGUCUCGAGCCGGUGAACCACGCAGCCUAUUAACUGGAAGUGCCUUUUCCUCAGGUGCCUGAAGUUGAUAAAAGAACGGGCCGUGGGAAUGA